rnacentral:rRNA from 1 species
CCUGAUCCAGCCAUGCCGCGUGCAGGAUGACGGUCCUAUGGAUUGUAAACUGCUUUUGUACGAGAAGAAACACUCCUUCGUGAAGGAGCUUGACGGUAUCGUAAGAAUAAGGAUCGGCUAACUCCGUGCCAGCAGCCGCGGUAAUACGGAGGAUCCAAGCGUUAUCCGGAAUCAUUGGGUUUAAAGGGUCCGUAGGCGGUUUAGUAAGUCAGUGGUGAAAGCCCAUCGCUCAACGGUGGAACGGCCAUUGAUACUGCUAGACUUGAAUUACUAGGAAGUAACUAGAAUAUGUAGUGUAGCGGUGAAAUGCUUAGAGAUUACAUGGAAUACCAAUUGCGAAGGCAGGUUACUACUAGUGGAUUGACGCUGAUGGACGAAAGCGUGGGUAGCGAACAGGAUUAGAUACCCUGGUAGUCCACGCCGUAAACGAUGGAUACUAGCUGUUGGGAGCAAUCUCAGUGGCUAAGCGAAAGUGAUAAGUAUCCCACCUGGGGAGUACGGGCGCAAGCCUGAAACUCAAAGGAAUUGACGGGGGCCCGCACAAGCGGUGGAGCAUGUGGUUUAAUUCGAUGAUACGCGAGGAACCUUACCAAGGCUUAGAUGUAGAUUGACCGAUUUGGAAACAGAUCUUUC